UCCCUGGUGGCUCAGAUGGUAAAGCAUCUGCCUACAAUGCAGGAGACCUGGGUUCGAUCCCUGGGUUGGGAU
rnacentral:tRNA from 1 species